GACGAACGCUGGCGGUGUGCUUCACACAUGCAAGUCGAACGGGGUAGCAAUACCUAGUGGCGGACGGGUGAGUAACGCGUGGGAAUCUGCCUCGAGAUGGGGGAUAACUGACCGAAAGGUUAGCUAAUACCGCAUAUGCCGAAAGGUGAAAGGAGUAAUCCGUCUUGAGAUGAGCCUGCGUCCGAUUAGCUAGUUGGUAAGGUAAAGGCUUACCAAGGCUAUGAUCGGUAGCUGGUCUGAGAGGAUGAUCAGCCACAAUGGAACUGAGACACGGUCCAUACUCCUACGGGAGGCAGCAGUGGGAAUUUGUGCAAUGGGGAACCCUGACGACAGCGACACCGCCGUGAGCGAAGAAGCCC
rnacentral:rRNA from 1 species